GCCGCUCCCAAUGCACGCAGCAGACUCAGCCGUGCGCCCGCACGCCUCCAUCGGCGCUCGCACGUAAGCUGUCCCUCCGGCCACCUGCCUCUGAAUCACAGCGCUCGGGUCCUGGCCGAGAGCAGGGGGAUUUCCCAGCGCCCAGCUCAAGGGUUUGCGUGCGGAGAAGCCUCCUCGCAGGCAGCUGGAAAUCGUCUCCGAAGACACAUUCCUGGACAAGCCAGAGCUGAGAAUGUCGCUGAAUCAUGCUGCAGAGCGCUUCCAAGUAUGAACAAACCUAAAUGAAGACAGCUGGCA